rnacentral:rRNA from 1 species
AACGAACGCUGGCGGCAUGCCUAACACAUGCAAGUCGAACGAGACCUUCGGGUCUAGUGGCGCACGGGUGCGUAACGCGUGGGAACCUGCCCUUAGGUUCGGAAUAACUCCCCGAAAGGGGUGCUAAUACCGGAUAAUGUCUUCGGACCAAAGAUUUAUCGCCUUUGGAUGGGCCCGCGUGGGAUUAGCUAGUUGGUAGGGUAAAAGCCUACCAAGGCGACGAUCCAUAGCUGGUCUGAGAGGAUGGUCAGCCACACUGGGACUGAGACACGGCCCAGACUCCUACGGGAAGCAGCAGUGGGGAAUAUUGGACAGUGGGCGAAAGCCUGAUCCAGCAAUGCCGCGUGAGUGAUGAAGGCCUUAGGGUUGUAAAGCUCUUUUACCCGGGAUGAUAAUGACAGUACCGGGAGAAUAAGCUCCGGCUAACUCCGUG